GUAUUGGUGGUUCAGUGGUAGAAUUCUCACCUUCCAGGUGGGAAACACAGAUUCAAUUCCCAGCCAAUAUA
rnacentral:tRNA from 1 species